AUUGUAUAUGGCACUGGAAAGAUAUUAAUUAUUUCUAACUCAUACACAUAGGUAGGUAGAUAAAUAGAUAGCGAAAGAAAGAGAGAGAGGACAUUAAGAAAGUAAAAAUAUAUUAACAAACUAAACUUUCGCGCGCAUUCGAAAAAUACAGUUUCAUGUUUUUUAAUUACGUCAUCGUGUAAAAGCUGUAGCUCUGUUUAUUCCCAAUAACAUUUUGCAAGUAUUUUGCUAAGAAUUUGCUCAGAAAUGUUGCAAACAAAAUGGCAACAAUUAAGGUGAGUCCUCAUUUGUUUCAAUAUUGGUAGCAAAGAAACACGAAAACAGCAACUUUACAGCAUCUUUGGGGCAACAGUUGCGGUGAAAAAUAUAUAAUUAUGGCAUUAUGUCAACAAAAAUGUGGCAAAAGUUAAUUUCUGUCAUUAUAGCAACAUGACAUAAUUGCAUAUAUUAGCAAUAAUUGCCAGCAAAUAGAUUGCACUAUUUUGCUUUAGCAAAAAAUGUUAUCUGGGUUAGAAAGAAAAUACGUAAAGGAUUG